AGCAAAGAUGAUUACUCUUAUGUGCUUACCUUAUACUUUUGCUUCUAAUCCUAAUUGGGUUCAAUAUAUUAGAAGAGUUUUUAAUCCUACUUAUAAAGGUUGGCCUCGCGCAACACUUAAGGCCGAUAUUUAUAAAUUCAAACAUGAAUAUGAAUAAUAUUUGCGCUAUUUAUUUACUCAUAUACCUAAUCGGAUUUCU
rnacentral:lncRNA from 1 species